rnacentral:lncRNA from 1 species
AUGGCAAUCCAUGGCAGUUCAUCUUUUAAGCGUUCCCAAAUCAGAUAAGGAAGCUUAAGCGACCAAAACAAUACGCUCCCUCUCUUCUGUCAUCCGAUGGUUCAUGUCUUGUACUAUUCUGUCAUCCGAUGGUUCAUGUCUUGUACUCUGUACCACUUACUAGAUUUUAAUGGAGGAUUUUAAUAACAAUGUCAGGCAUCAACUCGAUUAUCGAGAUUUCACAAAGUUUGUGUUCAUGCGAACUUGCCUUGCUGUAUAAUGAUGAUAAUAACCCUUUAUCUAUGGAGUCUUCUAUUGUAUUUGCAUCAAUGGUUAUUUAUAUCCAUAAUCCCCAAUUAGCUAGUUGAUUAAUUGCUAUUAUAUUCAUAUUUUCGCCAUUUAACAGGAUUAAAAGCAAACAUUUUUUUAAAGUGAUUCUACACACUACUAAUAUUUUAAUAAAAAAUAUUAUAUUUCACAAAAUUAUACUAUCAAAUAUAUCUCUUCUGAAGCAAUAUCUCUUAUUUAGAAUAGUUGUUGUUAAGAACAAUUUUUGUUUGAGAAUAAUUAUGUGUUAAGCAACACUAAUAUUGUUAUCCAAAGUGGUUAGCAUUUGGCUAAGUCUGUUAUCAAAGUUGUUAAGAAGAGUUUUUGCUUAGCUAUCUAAAAAUAUUAUGCUCAAAAUAUACAGAAACAAGUUUUGAAGUCUAAAUACAUAAUUGAUUUUUCUUCAUAGCAGCUUAGUCUUUGCUUCUCUUGAAUCUAAGUUUACCUAAGUUUCUUCAUGGUAUCAGCCGCUGGGUGAUCCUCAGUCCUAUGGCUACCACGAACUCCAUCGACUCUGCCUCUGUUGAUGGUGGUUGCGUAGCCUUUAGUGGCGAUAGAGUGGUGACUUCUUUCCCUCGGCAUGACGUUGCGAAACUUGAUAAAGGCACCUUCAUCCAAUGGAAACAAUAGGUUCGUUUAAUUUUAGGUGGUUAUGGUCUAAUAGGAUUUAUAGAUGGCACUCUACCUCAGCCGUCACGCUUCGUUCAAUCAUCGGACGGUUCCCUCGUUGCUAAUCCGUCUGCACUGGUGUUUGAGCAACAAGAUCAGUUGCUUACCUCGUGGCUCCUAUCCACGAUUAGUACCUCGUGUUUUUCUUCCUCCACGGAUGCUCGAUCGGCCUGCGAUGUGUGGAACACAGCGAUGAGUCUCUUUGCGGCCAACACUGGUGCUAAGUAGUCCUGGACUCAUCACGAGUUACACUCGCUAAAGAAAGGUACUCUUUCUGUCAAGAAUUAUGUGGCUCGUAUUAAAAAUUUGUGUGCUCUUUUGGAAGCUUCUGGCACGAGAAUUCCAGAGGCGGAGAAGACUCAGGUCAUGCUUGCAGGUUUACCAUAUGAGUUUGAUACUGUUGUUUCCUCGGCAUCUCUUUCAUCGGAGCCGAUGCCGUUCCAACGAUUGGUUGAGGCUUUGCUUGAAUGUGAGAACCGUCAGCUACGAGCGGUUCAGGAGGUGGCCAUGCAAGCUAAUCUUGUAGAAGGAGAUCUGUCGCAGGUUUCGGCAAGGUCAGUUCGUGGUGGUCGCCCUCCAUCCAGUGGCUGUGGGAAAAGGUUUUGGCCGCGCAUUCAAUGCUAAAUCUGCAGUCGGUACGGACAUAUUGCUCAACGGUGUUUUUACCGGUUUAAUCGUGACUUUGACGAGUUGACAGAUCAGUCUACUCCUAGGUUGUCGCGUUCGCCGCCAGCGUUGGGAUUGUCUGCUCCAUCCAUUGCUUCUACACUGCAACGAAAUUUUGCUUCUAAAUAUGGGGGUCUUCUGCGCAAAGAAUGAGGUUUACCUAUCCAUUCAGUCAAAAUCAAGUUCAAUUUGGUCAAAAUUGGUUUCCAGCUGGCCAAAAUGUUGGUGCUUCUGGUGGACCGAAUUAUUCCAACUUGAAUGGGCAUGGUGGUUUAUUUUUUGGGCCGAAUAAUGCUUAUAUGGAUGGCAUGUGCCUAGGCCUAAUUUGGGUGAUUUAGUUGGGCCAAGCAGGCCUAAUUUGUGGUGCACAUAAUGGUCUUUCUAGGCCACUUCAUAAUCCAAGUACUAUUGGGCAUGGCAAUUUAAAUAAUGUUGGGCCCAUGAGUAACUGUGUUCAAGUUGGAUAUCAGCUAAAUCGUGAUCAUUUUGUUGGGGCGUUGAAUGGCGACAGGUGUGAUGCUUCAGCCCUGCUUGUUCCUUAGAAAGCCAAACUGCGAGCUCGAAAUUAUACCGGUUCAGAUCCGUAUAUUGGUAUUCCUCGGGUCUGUGAUUUACAUGUGUCUGAUUAUUCAGAUUUUUUGGGGUCACAUAUCAACACUGCUCAGUUUGGGACUACUGAUGGUGGCACAGAUUCGUAUAUACCCAUGUCUGUUGGUUCUGCGUCCUGGUACCCCGACUCAGGUGCUAGCAAUCAUGUCUGUCAUGAUGCGUCGACUUUGCAUAACUCCACUCCGUAUUUAGGUAAGUCUCCUCUCUUGAUGGGUGACAGGACUCCCGCACCGAUCUCUUCUAUUGAUGAUUUCUUACCUACACGGUCUAAAUUGCUUCGAUUAUCUAAUGUAUUGUGUGUGCCGAGAAUACGUAAAAUUCUGUUGUCUGUAUCGCAGUUUGCAAAUGAUAAUAAUGUGUAUUUUGAGUUUCACCGGACAUAUUGUGUUAUUAAGGACAUCAUGACCCGGAAACUCUGCUGAAGAGCCACAUUCGUGAUGGUUUAUACCAGUUCUCUCUGCC